rnacentral:rRNA from 1 species
UACGUAGGGUGCGAGCGUUGUCCGGAAUUAUUGGGCGUAAAGAGCUUGUAGGCGGUCUGUCGCGUCUGCUGUGAAAAUCCGGGGCUCAACCCCGGACUUGCAGUGGGUACGGGCAGACUAGAGUGUGGUAGGGGAGUCUGGAAUUCCUGGUGUAGCGGUGAAAUGCGCAGAUAUCAGGAGGAACACCGGUGGCGAAGGCGGGACUCUGGGCCGAUACUGACGCUGAGGAGCGAAAGCGUGGGGAGCAAACAGG